GACGAACGCUGGCGGCGUGCUUAACACAUGCAAGUCGAACGGAAAGGCCCUGCUUUUGUGGGGUGCUCGAGUGGCGAACGGGUGAGUAACACGAGAGUAACCUGCCCUUGACUUUGGGAUAACUUAAGGAAACUGGGGCUAAUACCGGAUAGGAGCUCCUGCUGCAUGGUGGGGGUUGGAAAGUUUCGGCGGUUGGGGAUGGACUGGCGGCGUAUCAGCUUGUUGGUGGGGUGGUGGCUUACCAAGGCUUUGACGGGUAGCCGGCCUGAGAGGGUGACCGGCCACAUUGGGACUGAGAUAGGGCCCAGACUCCUACGGGAGGCAGCAGUGGGGAAUAUUGCACAAUGGGCGGAAGCGUGAUGCAGCAACGCCGCGUGCGGGAUGAAGGCCUUCGGGUUGUAAACCGCUUUCGCCUGUGACGAAGCGUGAGUGACGGUAAUGGGUAAAGAAGCACCGGCUAACUACGUG
rnacentral:rRNA from 1 species